UGAAAGGAUGGAAAUGGAAAGAAUGAAAAUUAUCACACUACAACUGUUGCUCUUCUAUACUGCUUGGACCGAAGGUUCUACGACUGAAUACAAGAUAAGUUUCUGGAUGAGAUCUGCUGAAGAAAAAGUUUAUCCACUGGUUAUUGUCACUGGAACUAAUGGAAAAACGGUGGAACAACAGUGUGAAGCAAACUUGUCAGCACCUCAGAAGAUUUCAGCAUGUACCAUAAAGACUGAAACUGAUAUUGGAACAGUCUGAUUGUAAGACUCAGCGACUGUCAACGCACGAGUGAGAGUACAUAAAGGCGACAGUUGAGAUAUCGGGUAUAAAUGAGACCCAAUGUUGUAUCCCGCGUUUUGGGACUGACUCUUUUAGAUUUCUUUUCGACGGAAAGAAGUGUGUUUAGAAGUUUUUACCUUUUAUCUGUUAAGACUUAUUAUAUACCUAUGCCAAUCUAUUAGAUAUGACGUAGGGGUCGUUCACAUAUUACGUAAUCAGCCGAUCCGAGGGGGAGGGGGUUUUGAGAUGAUCUCGCUACUAUAUAUGAUAGGAAGCAUAACGAGUUUAUUCAUUACGUGUGAUCAGGUGAUUGGUUUACCUAAUCACGUGAUAAGGUGACCCCGUUAACUACCCCGUUAAACAUUAUGGGAAUCGUUAAAGGUGCCCAAUUAAGGUGUCGUGUCACGGUGUCACAUAAUCACCCAGUCAAUUUUGUUAACGAGAUACAGAAAAUGCUUGAUAACUUCGUCAUUUCUAAUUCGU